GACAUAGGUGGCGAACGUUAUCCGGAUUUAUUGGGCGUAAAGGAUGCGUAGAUGGUAGAAUAAGUUAUUGGUCGAAAUCGAGCUCAACUUGAUGGAGGCUAGUAAUACUGUUCUACUAGAGGGCAGAAGAGGUUAGCGGAACUUACACAAGUAGGGUGAAAUCCAAUGAUCUGUGAGGACCACCAAAAAAGGCGAAGCAGCUA
rnacentral:rRNA from 1 species